rnacentral:misc_RNA from 1 species
AACAGGGGGACAGCCGAUAUCGCUGAAUGAGGGCCAAGCAUCGACUCCUUCGGCGAGCCAAUCGUUAUCGUCGUCUUCGCCGUCGACGUCGACAUCACAUAAUAAGAGACCGAGAACGGAAAGGGAGAGGGAGAG